rnacentral:rRNA from 1 species
UAGGGAAUCUUCCGCAAUGGACGCAAGUCUGACGGAGCAACGCCGCGUGAGUGAAGAAGGAUUUCGGUUCGUAAAACUCUGUUGUUAGAGAAGAACAGCGCAUAGAGUAACUGUUAUGCGUGUGACGGUAUCUAACCAGAAAGCCACGGCUAACUACGUGCCAGCAGCCGCGGUAAUACGUAGGUGGCAAGCGUUGUCCGGAUUUAUUGGGCGUAAAGCGAGCGCAGGCGGUCAAUUAAGUCUGAUGUGAAAGCCCCCGGCUCAACCGGGGAGGGUCAUUGGAAACUGGUUGACUUGAGUGCAGAAGAGGAGAGUGGAAUUCCAUGUGUAGCGGUGAAAUGCGUAGAUAUAUGGAGGAACACCAGUGUCGAAGGCGACUCUCUGGUCUGUAACUGACGCUGAGGCUCGAAAGCGUGGGUAGCAAACAGG